AGUAGCAUUGCUGGGUCGUAUGGUAGUUUUAUGCUUAACUUUUUGAGAAACUGCCAAACUGUUUAUCUAAAGUGGUUACACCAUUUUACAUUCCCACCAGCAAU
rnacentral:pre_miRNA from 1 species